AGGGGCGCCGCGCGAGGCCUGCCGGGCUGGGGAUGGUUGGCGCCGCCCAGGCGCGGCCCCGCAGGUCUGGCUUGCCGCCGAACCUGGGGACUUCGGCCGACCCCGACCACGCAAGCUGCGGUUUGACUCCUGCAUGGGGACGACGCUCGCCUGACUUAACAAUCGUAUCUUUCAUCUGGGUAGUGGAUUAAUAAUAGCAGCCAACUAUCUUCACACUUACAAGUGUGAGAAACUGAGGCACAGAUAGCUUGAGUCCCUUGCCCGAGGUCACAUAGCUGGGAACUGGGAGAGUCAGGGUUCGGGCACCAGGCUGGGCUCACUGAACAGCGAACAGCCUAGCUGCCGCUGGCCUUUGGCUCACAGACCUUGCGCGAAGUGCCCCCAGAUCCUUCCCCACCACCCAGCCCCUCCACCGGGACCCCUGCCUAAGCUCUUCCAAUUGCAUUUCCUACUAAACUUUGUACUGUCCCACACUGCCUCAGCCCUUACUCAUUGUUGUCUCAACUCCUCCACCCCACCCCCUCAACCCGGAUUCAGUCUGGAGUCCCUUAACUUGGCCGCACGUCACUGCCCUCCGGACCCAAACCCCUCCUACACGCCUAGCUUCUUAGGAAAAUAACACCGCAGCUGAUCCGCAGCCUCCACCACGCCUUCGCCCCAAUCUAGUCUCAAUAGAGCCGACUUUUGUGAUCUUCCCAAAGUGCAAAUCAGCUGUGCCCCAGUCACUCCAUUGCUCUUAUUGCCUAGCUGGUCUCCCCCACAUUUCUCACCACUUCACCCCUCACUCUACAAUCCCAGGGCUCCCCUAUCUCUUUCCAUUUCCUCCAGCAAGCCGAACUAGUUCUGCUAGACUGCACAGCUGGUCUCUGAUUCCUCUGGGAAGACUGGACUUCUGAUCAGAGACUCUACAGGUGACACACAGUGGGAAGCAGGCAGUGUGAGAAACCAGCAUCUCAAGCAGAAGAAGGAACAAUAGGCACACUUGGCCUCGCCAUUGGAGGGCAGUAAGGACUGUAGGGACUGUGGCAAAUUGGAAAAAACAAGCCCAGCCCCAAAGAGCCUCCAGCUGAUUGCUGAUGCAGAGGAACAGGGAAUAUUUACACAGAGGCACCAGGGUGCUUUUGUGGAGACUUGUUGAUGGACCAUGGGAGGAUUUAGAACUGAACUUGCUGCAUACAACAGAAGUUCUACAAGGAUAGCUUUAACAGCCUAUGGUCCAAAAGUCCCUGUGCACACCGGGCUGUGGGCGCCCUCUCGAAACACAAGCAGACAGCAAGGACCACUGGACAGACAGCAUGAGCACAGACUCCAAGCAAGCAACCAGAAAGAGGGGCUCCAAGGAGACAGAGGAAGAGGAAGAUGACACACAGCUGAUGCGGAUUGUCUUGGAAAUGGAAGUGCUCCAAAACAGGGAGACAGUAGAUGAUAUAAAAACUGAAAGCAGAGGCGCCUGGGUGGCUCAUAUGGUUGAGCGUCUGCCUUCGGCUCAGGUCAUGAUCUCAGGGUCCUGGGAUUGAGUCCUACAUCGUCUGGCUCCCUGCUCAGCAGGGAGCCUGCUUCUCCCGCUCCCCUUGCCCCUCCCCACUGCUCCUGCUUGCGCACUAUCUCUGUCAAAUAAAUAAAUAAAUACAUACUGAAAGCAUAUCACAAAAUAGCAGAAGGAGCUUAUAACUUAGGAAUGGAUUUGUGUAGAACAAAGAAAAAAAUUAGCUGACUAGUUGAAAGUGAUUUCCUCCUGGAGCAGCAAUGGUUGAGGUACAGAUUUUUUUCCCUGCUGAUUUUGCAGUAAGCUUUUCGGGAGCAUCUGAUGGAUUAAAUUAUGUGGGUGUGUGCAGUUCUGUCUGCAAAGCCUCAGGGGCAGCCGGAGGGUGGGAGCAACUUGGGAAUUGGCAGGGAGCAUUCCCUCUGUUGGGAGCUCCCCAUGCAAGGGGUCCUGCCCCGAGACCCUCAUGUCAUGGAUGCUUUCUCGGGCCAGUUCUGCUCUGAUCCCUCUUGCCCCCUGUGGCUCAGUUGGCAAUGACAGGUGGAUCCUGGGAGGUGACAGAUCUGGGUUCAGAUACUGGUUCCACCACCAGUUCAUGUUACUCAACCUCAUUCUCUUCACCUCCAGCACCAAUUCAACAAAUCCAGUGACAAAAUGCCAGGUACCCCACAACCAGGGCACUCUCCGUUAUGGUUUUCUCUAGCCUGUGUAUUGGAAAAAAUACAUACUCACGUCACAUUUUCCAUUAAUUAGAGCCGCCUGACUGAGCAACAGCUCGGAAUUCUGGCCUCGAAGCCAGCCGAUGGGAAUGCUCUGGGAAGCUCCAGUGCUGAAGGACUUGGCUGUGGAGGGCAAGGCCAGGCUCAGUCUGGCCAGAACCCGCUCAGAGGUCAGAGAUGGCUGGCCAGAAAGCUGCCUUCCUCUCUGAAGCCACAGCACCCCCUGCUGCCCCGGAGAGCCAGGAGUCCAACUUGGAGGGAGAGCACAGACCUGAGAGCGGAGGGGACAGCUGGAAAAGCUGCAGCUCAUUAACCUCCUGGUGCCUCAGUUUCCUCAUCUGUAAAAUGUAUUUGCUUCUACGAUUAGGUGAGAGCGUAGAUCCAAAGAGUUUCGUAAAUGCUUGCCACACCAUCCAUGUACAAUAAAUAUUGUUCAUUAUUCUUUGUGGAUUUGAUAUUGUGAUUUAUAAUAAAAGAUAUAUAUUUGGUCUUACUCCCAUUUCUGGCCCAGAGCUCUUAAAAUACUUGGAAUUUUGUAAGCACUGAGAGCAGGCAAAGUGUCUUUUGUUAUGUGAAUGAGGUGACUUUUGGAUCGCAUCUAAGGAAUGGGGGCGGGGGUGCUAGUUUCCAGCAGAACCAACCAUAUUGCUACAGGAUUGGAACUUUCAGUCCCACAUCCUAGACUUCCAGUGAGGGGAGAGGGGCUGGUGGUUGAAUCUGGGGUCAGUGAUUUAGUCAAUCAUGCCUAAAUAAUGAAGCCUCCAUUAAUACCUAAAAGGACAGGUUUGGAGAGGUUCUGGGUUGGGAACCAGAACACUCCCACGUGCCACCGUGCCAGGCCCCAAAUUCUGCAAGGACAGAAGUUCUUUUGUUUGGGACCUCUCUCUGUGUACCUCUUCAUCUGGCUAUUCACUUGUACCCUUUGAUAUCCUUUGUAAUAAACUGGU